rnacentral:rRNA from 1 species
GCGCUGCUAAUACAUGCAAGUCGAGCGGACAGAAGGGAGCUUGCUCCCGGAUGUUAGCGGCGGACGGGUGAGUAACACGUGGGUAACCUGCCUGUAAGACUGGGAUAACUCCGGGAAACCGGAGCUAAUACCGGAUAGUUCCUUGAACCGCAUGGUUCAAGGAUGAAAGACGGUUUCGGCUGUCACUUACAGAUGGACCCGCGGCGCAUUAGCUAGUUGGUGGGGUAAUGGCUCACCAAGGCAACGAUGCGUAGCCGACCUGAGAGGGUGAUCGGCCACACUGGGACUGAGACACGGCCCAGACUCCUACGGGAGGCAGCAGUAGGGAAUCUUCCGCAAUGGACGAAAGUCUGACGGAGCAACGCCGCGUGAGUGAUGAAGGUUUUCGGAUCGUAAAGCUCUGUUGUUAGGGAAGAACAAGUGCGAGAGUAACUGCUCGCACCUUGACGGUACCUAACCAGAAAGCCACGGCUAACUACGUGCCAGCAGCCGCGGUAAUACGUAGGUGGCAAGCGUUGUCCGGAAUUAUUGGGCGUAAAGGGCUCGCAGGCGGUUUCUUAAGUCUGAUGUGAAGGCACCCGGCGCAACGGGGGAGGGUCAUUGGAAGCUGGGGAAGUUGAGAGGAGAAA